rnacentral:lncRNA from 10 species
CUGGGAUGCUGUUUCCUCCAAAUCUCAUGUUGAGGUGUCAUCUCCAAUGUUGGAGAUGGAACCUGGCGGAGGCAACUGGAUCAUGGCACAUCUUAGGAAGCUACAAUUAGAGUGUGCCCAUCUGACACUCUGAGGACUGUUCCCUGAGAGGGGAGGAAAUGGGAGCAUGAACAGAAAACACCAGAGAAGAACCCUGCACAGACCAGCGACAGACCUGUCUCCAACCGUGUAACUCAACAACUCAACCCUCUGCACGUAAAGUCCACUCAACAAAAACAAAACCAAGGAUCUCCAGAAGUCAGGUGGCUGCUUUUAUAUUUGCUACCUAAAGUAAACAUUUCAAAAUAUGUUAAAUUUCACACUGUUUCAUGCAAUAUUGGAGCCUGCAAAUUCACUAAUUUGGGAUUCCUCUCAGAACCUCUUUGCUUUCAUAGACUCUGCCAUACAAGACUGGAACAGAAGUAUUUAUUGGUGUUUUUACUUAAGAACCUGUCUAACUAGCUAACUACCACUUGCUUAAAGAAUAAUCCCUACAACAUGUUGGUAUCUUCGAAUUUCACAACUGCAGCUUAAAAGAGUUCAUAAAAGUGGAAAUCAGUGAAUCUGGGGUCACACGAAUAGUCAUCGGUGCACGUGGCUCUUCUGCAGCAGAACCAUGGAUUUCUUCCUUUGUCAACAGGAAAAAAGGAAAUCAGUAAAUGCACAGUUUUAUGGUACACUUGAGAAAGUUCCAGAAGGUGAAUACAAUGUAAUACACAUAACAUGUUGCCAACAUAUUUUUACUUAUUUUGAAAUAAUUGUAGAUUUUUGAGAAGAUGGAAAAUGAGUGUACAGCAGUGCUCAGUACCCUUCACCAUGCCUCUGACAGGAACA